AAUCUAAAAACAUAUAAUGUCGUAUACGCAUAAUCGUUAUGGCGCACAAAACUGAUAUGCAUACUUUUAUAACUCGUUAGAUUUUAGUCAGGUAGGUUACGGUAUAAAUUUAACGCCUAUUAAAAAUCUUCUUCAAUGUAUCAAUAAACAAUAUUAUAAUUUACCUUAACGUCGAUUUUGUUUUUUCAUUGUACUUCGGUUAGAAACAACCACAGAGAUCUGACAUUUUCACCGAAUAAAGGAACAUUUCUACACGUGAUAUAAUUUUCAAAAUAUUCUGACGAUUCUUGAACUAUUUAUAGUAAUUUGAAAUUUUCGUUUUAGUUUUUAUUUGGUUUCGUGAUGGGAAUAAAAUUGUUAAGCCCGGGAAAAAUGCUCGAAAAUUUAACAUAAGGUGCAUCAUCAAUUGUACUAAGUAUGUUUUAGUAGUUGAGUAAUGUUUUCUUAUAAGUUAAGUUGAAAUUCGUAAAAAUCGUGACAUUUCAAAACAUGAUUAGCUUAAUUCCGCCCAUAAUCGUUUUUCGUUAGCAAUGGUAUACCGUUGGGCACAGAUUAAUUAAAUUAUCUAUUCAAUAUAUCCUACCUUCCCAACUUCUCACCUACAACAGUGGCACACCCAACUCAGUUUUCAUAUUAAAGGCCUAAAGUCGAGUCACGAAUAUAUUUUUAGUUU